GACGAACGCUGGCGGCGUGCUUAACACAUGCAAGUCGAACGGAAAGGCCCUGCUUUUGUGGGGUGCUCGAGUGGCGAACGGGUGAGUAACACGUGAGUAACCUGCCCUUGACUUUGGGAUAACUUCAGGAAACUGGGGCUAAUACCGGAUAGGAGCUCCUGCUGCAUGGUGGGGGUUGGAAAGUUUCGGCGGUUGGGGAUGGACUCGCGGCUUAUCAGCUUGUUGGUGGGGUAGUGGCUUACCAAGGCUUUGACGGGUAGCCGGCCUGAGAGGGUGACCGGCCACAUUGGGACUGAGAUACGGGCCAGACUGCUACGGGAGGCAGCAGUGGGGAAUAUUGCACAAUGGGCGGAAGCCUGAUGCAGCAACGCCGCGUGCGGGAUGACGGCCUUCGGGUUGUAAACCGCUUGCGCCUGUGACGAAGCGUGAGUGACGGUAAUGGGUAAAGAAGCACCGGCUAACUACGUG
rnacentral:rRNA from 1 species